CAGCAGCCACGGGAAUACGGAGGAUCCAAGCGUUAUCCGGAAUCAUUGGGUUUAAAGGGUCCGUAGGCGGUCUUGUAAGUCAGUGGUGAAAGCCCAUCGCUCAACGGUGGAACGGCCAUUGAUACUGCAGGACUUGAAUUAUUGGGAAGUAACUAGAAUAUGUAGUGUAGCGGUGAAAUGCUUAGAGAUUACAUGGAAUACCAAUUGCGAAGGCAGGUUACUACCAAUUGAUUGACGCUGAUGGACGAAAGCGUGGGUAGCGAACAGGAUUAGAUACCCGUGUAGUCCCUGUCUCUUAUAC
rnacentral:rRNA from 1 species